GCCAGGUACUCUUUUCUAUGUCUUUCACUUACAGGUGAAGAAACUGAAACACAGAGAAGAAAAAUAAUUUGCCCAAGGUCACGCACCCCAUAAGUGGUAAAGCAGGAAGAUGAAUACAGUCUGAUUUCUGAGUCUGUGCUCAUAACCACUCCCCAGGCUGCCCAAGAUGAACUGUUUUUAAGUGAGUCAGAGCUCUUUGUUGCAAGUGGCAGAAUCAGAACUCAAGGCUGCUUCUGCAAAAUGGAAAUGUCCUGGUUCGUUUCAUUCCACCCUGCUAUCCUGCAUGUAGACCUUAUCUAGGAAAAUAAAUGAACCUUUCGCUCUGGAAGGAGAUAGAAUGGAGAAUGCCCU
rnacentral:lncRNA from 1 species